rnacentral:tRNA from 1 species
GGAUGGGUGGCCGAGUGGUCGAAGGCGCCCGCCCGGAAAGUGGGUAGGCGGCGAAGGCCGCCUCGCAGGUUCGACUCCUGCCCUGUCCGCCA